AAAUUGACGGGGACCGCACAAGCGGUGGAUGAUGUGGAUUAAUUCGAUGCAACGCGAAAACCUUACUACCCUUGACAUGUCCGGAAUCCCGAAGAGAUUUGGGAGUGCUCGCAAGAGAGCCGGAACACAGGUGCUGCAUGGCUGUCGUCAGCUCGUGUCGUGAGAUGUUGGGUUAAGUCCCGCAACGAGCGCAACCCUUGUCAUUAGUUGCCAUCAUUUGGUUGGGCACUCUAAUGAGACUGCCGGUGACAAACCGGAGGAAGGUGGGGAUGACGUCAAGUCCUCAUGGCCCUUAUGGGUAGGGCUUCACACGUCAUACAAUGGUCGGUACAGAGGGUUGCCAACCCGCGAGGGGGAGCUAAUCCCACAAAGCCGAUCGUAGUCCGGAUCGCAGUCUGCAACUCGACUGCGUGAAGUCGGAAUCGCUAGUAAUCGUGGAUCAGCAUGUCACGGUGAAUACGUUCCCGGGUCUU
rnacentral:rRNA from 1 species